CCCCACCCCUAUCUCCCUUCGCUGACUCAGCCCACCUGCACCCAGGUGAAAUAAACAGCCAUGUUGCUCACACAAAGCCUGUUUGGUGGUCUCUUCACACAGACGCGCAUGAAAGUCUCGAUCUCCUGACCUCAUGAUCUGCCCUCCUUGGCCUCCCAAAGUGCUACAAUUACAGGCGUGAGCCACCGUGCCCGGCCGACACUCUCUUAAAUUAAUCACUUUGAAUAGUAAAGUUAAAAAAAAAAAAUCACCAGCUCAUAUUAAAAAGCCAUUUAUGGGCUGGGCACGGUGGCUCAUGCCUGUAAUCCUAGGACUUUGGGAGGCCGAGAUGGGCAGAUCACGAGGCCAAGAGAUCGAGACCAUCCUGGCCAACACGGUGAAGCCCCGUGUCUACUAAAAAUACACAAAUUAACCAGGUGUGGUGGCGCGUGCCUGUAGUCUCAGCUACUCUGGAGGCUGAGGCAGGAGAAUCGCUUGAACCCAGGAGGUGGAGGUUGCAGUGAGCCAAGAUCACACCACUGCACUCCAGCCUGGUGACAGCGAGAUUCCGUCUCAAAAAAAAAAAAAAAAAACUCAUUCAUAAUCCGACCUUUACCUCCUUUACCUAAAUAUGUUCAGCUUCACCUGUCUCUCAUUCCAGCCUGUUAUUUCUCAGCUUUACUGAACUUAUAUCCAUAUUCCUCAGAGAUGAAUGAAUUUUCAUGCUUUCAUGUCUUUUUUCUUCUCACCCAGAAUGCUCCUUAUUUUCUCUCCGAGUCGUGGACUCUAUGCCUGCUCAUGUGUCAAGACGUAGCUCAACUUCCAACUUCACUAAAAUUAUCAACCUCACGAAUGAAGUUAAUUGGGAAGAUCAAAAACAGACGAGCACAAUCUCAAUAAAAAAUCACAGCAGGUAUUUGUGUGGUAAUUGAUAAUCUUAUACUAAAAUUUAUAUAAAAAUCCAAAGACCCAGGAAUAGCCAAGGCAACCUUGCAGAAGAAUAAAGCUACAGGGCUUAUAUUACCAGUGAGUAAGAUCUAUUUUAAAGUUUUAGUAAUUAAGACAUUUUUGGUAUUUG
rnacentral:lncRNA from 10 species